UAGCUAUCUCUUUACCCCCCAUUUUUGGGGAGGGUAAAUUUCUCCUAAGGCUAAAUAUUGGCGAGAGACCGAUAGCGAACAAGUACCGUGAGGGAAAGAUGAAAAGCACUUUGAAAAGAGAGUUAAAUAGCACGUGAAAUUGUUGAAAGGGAAACGAUUGAAGCCAGUCGUACCUACGGGUAAUCAACCUUUCGGGAGCGAUUCUGUGGGCUUUGAGGAGCUUAACGGCCCUCGGGUUUUCAUAUUCGUACCCUUGGGGUGUAUUUUCCCGGUGGUAGUUAACAUCAAUUUCGGUUGUCAUAAAAUGAUGGGAGGAAUGAGCUUUCUAUAAUA
rnacentral:rRNA from 1 species